CAGCCGCCACGGUAAUACGAAGGGGGCUAGCGUUGUUCGGAUUUACUGGGCGUAAAGCGCACGUAGGCGGACAUUUAAGUCAGGGGUGAAAUCCCAGAGCUCAACUCUGGAACUGCCUUUGAUACUGGGUGUCUGGAGUAUGGAAGAGGUAAGUGGAAUUCCGAGUGUAGAGGUGAAAUUCGUAGAUAUUCGGAGGAACACCAGUGGCGAAGGCGGCUCACUGGACUGGUAUUGACGCUGAGGUGCGAAAGCGUGGGGAGCGAACAGGAUUAGAUACCCCGGUAGUCCCUGUCUCUUAUAC
rnacentral:rRNA from 1 species